UACAGAGGGGGCAAGCGUUGUUCGGAAUUACUGGGCGUAAAGGGCGCGUAGGCGGCCUGUUAAGUCGAACGUGAAAUCCCCGGGCUCAACCCGGGAACUGCGUCCGAUACUGGCAGGCUUGAAUCCGGGAGAGGGAUGUGGAAUUCCAGGUGUAGCGGUGAAAUGCGUAGAUAUCUGGAGGAACACCGGUGGCGAAGGCGACAUCCUGGACCGGCAUUGACGCUGAGGCGCGAAAGCGUGGGGAGCGAACAGG
rnacentral:rRNA from 1 species